rnacentral:rRNA from 1 species
CGCCCUUAGAGUUUGAUCCUGGCUCAGGACGAACGCUGGCGGCGUGCUUAACACAUACAAGUCGAACGGAACGGGUGCUUGCACCUGUCGAGUGGCGAACGGGUGAGUAACACGUGGGUGAUCUGCCCUGCACUUCGGGAUAAGCCUGGGAAACUGGGUCUAAUACCGGAUAGGACCAUGGUUGAUACUGGUGGUGAAAGUUUUCGGUGCAGGAUGAGCUCGCGGCCUAUCAGCUUGUUGGUGGGGUAAUGGCCUACCAAGGCGGCGACGGGUAGCCGGCCUGAGAGGGUGGACGGCCACAUUGGGACUGAGACACGGCCCAGACUCCUACGGGAGGCAGCAGUGGGGAAUAUUGCACAAUGGGCGCAAGCCUGAUGCAGCGACGCCGCGUGGGGGAUGACGGCCUUCGGGUUGUAAACUCCUUUCAACCAUGACGAAGCUUUUUGACGGUAGUGGUAGAAGAAGCACCGGCUAACUACGUGCCAGCAGCCGCGGUAAUACGUAGGGUGCGAGCGUUGUCCGGAAUUACUGGGCGUAAAGAGCUCGUAGGUGGUUUGUCGCGUCGUCUGUGAAAUUCCGGGGCUCAACUCCGGGCGUGCAGGCGAUACGGGCAAACUUGAGUGCUGUAGGGGAGACUGGAAUUCCUGGUGUAGCGGUGAAAUGCGCAGAUAUCAGGAGGAACACCGAUGGCGAAGGCAGGUCUCUGGGCAGUAACUGACGCUGAGGAGCGAAAGCAUGGGUAGCGAACAGGAUUAGAUACCCUGGUAGUCCAUGCCGUAAACGGUGGGCGCUAGGUGUGGGGGUCUUCCAGACUUCUGUGCCGUAGCUAACGCAUUAAGC